ACGAACUGUGACAUUUUGCCAAGGUAGAGAUGAGUGGCCGACACCAAAACGCGCCAGUGGACGCAUAAAGUAUGCCCUAAUAAUGAUUGCCAAAUUUGUCAACACAGAAGUCUCUUUCCAUUCACCACUGUUCUGAGACUGGAAAUAUAUUGCAAGUUGAUGGCUGUGCGCAGGUAGCCUUUGAAGGAGCCCCUGGAAGUGAUUGUUUGAUAAUCAGAUGAAAACUUCUUGACUGGUUGUGUUUAUGCAACAAUAAAAGCACAUUUCCAACAUCGUCGAAUCUACAACCAUCUGACUGGUUUGGUAAUGGGCGCGUAUGAGGCGAAGGCGAAAGUAGUCGACUGUAGCCGGAAGUUGACGAGACUUAUUGUUAGCUAGGAGGAAGACAUGGAGGGUUCAACGCUGACACAGAGGAGGGCUGAAUGUCAGUUGAAGGAAAGGGAGAUCCAGACAGACUACAUGAUGGAGCUGGGAGCCA